rnacentral:tRNA from 3 species
GGAGAGGUGGCAGAGCGGUUGAAUGCGCCGCACUCGAAAUGCGGUUUAGGGAAACCUAACGUGGGUUCAAAUCCCACCCUCUCCG